GGAAGCAGAGGAUUUGGAAACUUUCUGGACAACAAUAGUGAGAAUCAAGUCGGCUCUGCCUAGAAGAGUCCUGAGAGAAACAGGCCCGGCCACACAGAGCAGGACAAAUGGGCCACAAGGGAGGCAUGUCCCCCACUGCUGUGGGGGAGGGAACACGCAAAGGCUUGGGACCCAUCAGGGAGUCGAGGUGACACUACUAACAUGUGACAGCUGACACGGAGGCGGCAUCUGCAGAGGUGAAUGGAUGACUCAGAGGCAUUAUUUAUUAUUGUUAUUUUUGCCCUCCCUCACUGUGGUUUAUAGAAAGUGCUUUGUCAAGAUUUCCAGGCCCAGCCAUGGACAAAGGACACGAGGCAGAUCCUCAGGGGGGCCCCUCUCUGACGCAGGGCUGCAAGCUAGAAGACAGCAUGGAGGCAGGGGGGAGGCAGGGUCAGCUGGGCAGCGCCAAACCGGAAUGCCCCAGACCGUCUCAGCAGGCAGCUUAAAGCCCAUGGGAUGGAGAGGAUGGAUAGGUCAGGUUGGGCCCUGCAGCCCCGCUGCUGAAAAGAAAUGAACAUGCUUCAAGGUGACCAAGACUGGAUUGGUUUAAAAAUAUCAGCAAGCCUACUGCCACAUUAAUGAAUUACAUCACACCUGGAAACAUCUGCUGAAGAACUGACGUAUCCCAAACGCUCAGUCACAACCAAUUGUUGUACCCAAGGUACCAUGAUGUACCCAAGGGGAUAGGUGGUGGUUUUAUCAGCAGAGAUGCUACAAAUGCCAGGUCGUCGCCUCGCGAGGUCAGUAUGUGUGGUAAAGCUGGGCUCUUCACCAUACGAAGAACUGCUCUAAGGAGAAGAACACUGCACAGUUUUCCCCUUGGGUCUCUCUCCAUCUAGCUCCUAUCUAUUACUGGAGACAAGGUGGAUCUGGAAAGAAGAGAAGGCAUUGCCAUGGAUGUGCAUCAGUAGAAACAGAAGCUUUCUAGACUCUUGGAAUGUUUUCCUUUGCUUAUGUGUUUGUGUAUUCCUGAGGCUCAAGACCUUUUAGGUUUGGAAAUCCAAAAGAGUAAAUGAUCACAUUAUGGAUUUUUGGUUCCCUAUGUCUGAAUGUGCGUAUUAACGUGCUACAAUUUGCCCAGAUUUCUUUUGCUCAGAGUUCACCACGCUUGCCAGGAACCGGACACCAGAAGAGGGUUUUGCAAUCGCUUACAAGCUGACCAUGAAUGAAUAAGACCACUGAGAAACUGUGGGGUUGCUUGGGCUAUAAACUCUGUGGCAAGCUUAACAAGUCAGUAAAAUCCUGAGGACACAGCAUCUUCAAAGGGACAAAGCCAUGCUGAAGAGGGCCAGGGGUCAGGCAUGCUUUCCCUUGGGCACCCCGUUUUAGACUGCUCUUGGUGUGAGGAGCCAAGUGUCCCGACACACACAUGGCUUCACCACGGGCAGCAAGUUGCCUCUCGCGGCUGCUCUGGGAAGUGUGCUGCCUGCAACAGCUGGGACAGCAAGGAGAUAGUCAUCUCUUUGAAGGCAAGGACUGUGGCUUUGACUUCUUUUGCCAUCCCAUCAGCAGCCAAGCAAGUACAAGGACUGACUCGUGGAGGAACCUGGCCAGGCUCAUCGCUGAUGCCUUUUUCUCUCAGAUUCUCUAAGGUCUCGCUGUUAGUCAUGACAGGCGUGCACAGUACACUCCUCAACACGGGGCUGUCAAGCCUGUGAGCCUUCACCAACCGAGCAGAGCUGGGCAUGGGAUGAGCCUCCUCUAGCUUCAGCUAGAUAUUUGACGCAGAUCUACAAGGAAAUUCCUUCUGUGCGGCCACCUGACCUCAGCUCUUCCCUUCCUGGCCACCUGGAGCACCUCAAUGGUGCUCCCAGCUUCCUACUGCAUAGUAUACAGUAUAUAUGUUCACCCACAUCUCAUCUGCUUCACACAUCAAACCCUAAGUUCCUGGGGACCAAGGUUCAU